rnacentral:rRNA from 1 species
CGGCAGCACGGGAGCAAUCCUGGUGGCGAGUGGCGAACGGGUGAGUAAUACAUCGGAACGUGUCCUGUAGUGGGGGAUAGCCCGGCGAAAGCCGGAUUAAUACCGCAUACGCUCUACGGAGGAAAGGGGGGGAUCUUAGGACCUCUCGCUACAGGGGCGGCCGAUGGCAGAUUAGCUAGUUGGUGGGGUAAAGGCCUACCAAGGCGACGAUCUGUAGCUGGUCUGAGAGGACGACCAGCCACACUGGGACUGAGACACGGCCCAGACUCCUACGGGAGGCAGCAGUGGGGAAUUUUGGACAAUGGGCGCAAGCCUGAUCCAGCAAUGCCGCGUGUGUGAAGAAGGCCUUCGGGUUGUAAAGCACUUUUGUCCGGAAAGAAAACCUCGGCCCUAAUAUGGUGGGGGGAUGACGGUACCGGAAGAAUAAGCACCGGCUAACUACGUGCCAGCAGCCGCGGUAAUACGUAGGGUGCAAGCGUUAAUCGGAAUUACUGGGCGUAAAGCGUGCGCAGGCGGUUUGCUAAGACAGAUGUGAAAUCCCCGGGCUUAACCUGGGAACUGCAUUUGUGACUGGCAGGCUAGAGUAUGGCAGAGGGGGGUAGAAUUCCACGUGUAGCAGUGAAAUGCGUAGAGGUGUGGAGGAAUACCGAUGGCGAAGGCAGCCCCCUGGGCCAAUACUGACGCUCAUGCACGAAAGCGUGGGGAGCAAACAGGAUUAGAUACCCUG